CCUGAGGUGAGCACUGAGUCAGCUGCAGGACCACAGGUGAAGGCAAUUCAACUGUGACCGGAAGGGGUGGAGCCUGGCUCCACCUCUUCUAGAUCCCAUUUAAGGGCUGUCUGCCACUGGGAAAGGAUCUCUUUCUGGGAUUGCUCCUCUUAGAGUUUUUCCUGUGAGCAUACAACACAGUUAUAAAUCAGCCCUGUGGACUGUCUCAUCAUGUAAUCCUGCCAGCUCAACUCUGACUAUAGCCAAGGAUGAAGAAGGCAAGAGGACCCUACUGCACAGAAUGGAGAAAUCUUAUGAAGAGAAGACAACUUUUGUCCCAGUUU
rnacentral:lncRNA from 1 species